CCUACGGGAGGCAGCAGUCGAGAAUCAUUCACAAUGGGGGAAACCCUGAUGGUGCGACGCCGCGUGGGGGAAUGAAGGUCUUCGGAUGGUAAACCCCUGUCAUGUGGGAGCAAAUUAAAAAGAUAGGACCACAAGAGGAAGAGACGGCUAACUCUGUGCCAGCAGCCGCGGUAAUACAGAGGUCUCAAGCGUUGUUCGGAAUUACUGGGCGUAAAGCGUGCGUAGGCUGUUUCGUAAGUCGUGUGUGAAAGGCGCGGGCUCAACCCGCGGACGGCACAUGAUACUGCGAGACUAGAGUAAUGGAGGGGGAACCGGAAUUCUCGGUGUAGCAGUGAAAUGCGUAGAUAUCGAGAGGAACACUCGUGGCGAAGGCGGGUUCCUGGACAUUAACUGACGCUGAGGCACGAAGGCCAGGGGAGCGAAAGGGAUUAGAUACCCUGGUAGUC
rnacentral:rRNA from 1 species